UCGCUUCAGCAGCACAUAUACUAAAAUUAGAACGAUAUGGAGAAGAUUAGCAUGGCCCCCACGCAAGGAUGAUAUGCAAAUUCAUGACAUGUUCCAUAUUUAA
ensembl:snRNA U6 U6 spliceosomal RNA